UACGGGGGGGGCAAGCGUUGUUCGGAAUUAUUGGGCGUAAAGGGCGCGUAGGCGGCCUGGCAAGUGGAAGGUGAAAUCCCUCGGCUUAACCGAGGAACUGCCCUCCAAACUGCUUGGCUUGAGUCCGGGAGAGGUGAGUGGAAUUCCCAGUGUAGCGGUGAAAUGCGUAGAUAUUGGGAGGAACACCAGUGGCGAAGGCGGCUCACUGGACCGGAACUGACGCUGAGGCGCGAAAGCGUGGGGAGCAAACAGG
rnacentral:rRNA from 1 species